rnacentral:rRNA from 1 species
CUACCCUUGACAUGUCCGGAAGGCCUUCGAGAGGAGGCUGUGCCCGAAAGGGAAUCGGAACACAGGUGCUGCAUGGCUGUCGUCAGCUCGUGUCGUGAGAUGUUGGGUUAAGUCCCGCAACGAGCGCAACCCUUGUCCCUAGUUGCUACGCAAGGGCACUCUAGGGAGACUGCCGGUGACAAACCGGAGGAAGGUGGGGAUGACGUCAAGUCCUCAUGGCCCUUAUGGGUAGGGCUUCACACGUCAUACAAUGGACGGUACAGAGGGUUGCCAACCCGCGAGGGGGAGCCAAUCCCGACAAAGCCGUUCGUAGUCCGGAUCGCAGUCUGCAACUCGACUGCGUGAAGUCGGAAUCGCUAGUAAUCGCGGAUCAGCAUGCCGCGGUGAAUACGUUCCC